UACGGAGGGAGCUAGCGUUGUUCGGAAUUACUGGGCGUAAAGCGCACGUAGGCGGCUUUGUAAGUUAGAGGUGAAAGCCCGGAGCUCAACUCCGGAAUUGCCUUUAAGACUGCAUCGCUUGAAUCCAGGAGAGGUGAGUGGAAUUCCGAGUGUAGAGGUGAAAUUCGUAGAUAUUCGCAAGAACACCAGUGGCGAAGGCGGCUCACUGGUCCGGUUCUGACGCUGAGGCGCGAAAGCGUGGGGAGCAAACAGG
rnacentral:rRNA from 1 species